GAAGUGCGAUAAGCAAUGCGAAUUGCAGAACCGUGAGUCAUCAGAUUUUUGAACGCAACUGGCGCUGAGUGGCUACCCACUCAGCAUGCUUGUUUCAGUGUCUCUUUAUCUCAUCACCCAAAUCAUAAUGCGAGAGAUACCCUUCUCUUGCUAAACAUGAAAGCACUCUGCGCUCUGCGAGCGAUCUCGAUUCGUCGAGGGUCGCACUCAAUGCAGCAGUCACAUUGCUCACAAUGUGAACUCAUUGAGAGCUGAGGCAGUGCAGCCUAGCUGCCAGUGCUUAGUCACUUAAACUUACUUGCAUCUGAAAUCAAGCAGGACCACCCGCUGAACUUAA
rnacentral:misc_RNA from 1 species